GUCCCCUCCCAGAGGCGUGCUUGUGCUGCACACUGCCCAGCUGCACUCCUUGAGGUCGCAAAUGGAAGAGGAAGCUGUUUGGCUUUCAGAGCUUUGUUUACUUAUAGGAGGCCUAACAAACAUGGAUGUUAAGGCCCCCUAGGGGGUCUUUCUUACAAUGCUGGGGCCUAUUGGAUUAGGCAAAUGAGAGCCAGAGAUUUGCCUAAUAGCUUGACAGGCCAUGAGGGAUUAGACUCGUGGGCUGGUGUAAACGUGUGGUGCAGAGGUGCUGUGGUGUGGAUCUCUUCUUAGCCAUGGCUAAAUGCCUUGUCAAUGUGGGCUAAUCUUGUUUGCCUUGUCUUCCAUAAUGCCGCCUUACAGGACGCAGCCUCUGCCGAUUUAAUCACUGCGGAAUGGAACGGUAGGCUUUUGUUUUGUGGGUGCACCUCCUGCAUUACACAGCACUUUCAGCGUUACAGGCAUCAGUAAUUAACAGCAGUUUUUAACUGGCAUUGGUUCCAGCUCCUGAACUAGUUGCUCCCUCGGGACCAAAGGUUCCAUUCUGUUGGUUGAAGGCAGCUCCCUCUGUGGAGGUCCCACCGCUAUCCCUGCACUGUGGAUCUGCUGCUCCACGCUCCUUCAGCAGACGUUUGCAUGAACCGUGUCCACGUCCCCAGGUAAGCCAGCAGCUCCUUCCCCUGAGCAGGGAUCCCGCUGUGUCGCACUGCUGUGCUCAGGAGCUCUGUGAUGCCUGAGGGAUGCACCCAGAGCACCCACCCCUCACUGGAGCACGUAACUGAAACUGGGAUGGUGCCUAUCCUCGAAAGCAGUAGGCAGUUAGAGGCUGAACUGAAGUGCCUGGGCUGUGAAAGGGUCAUAAAGGUAGCACAGGUGGGACAGCUCUGUUCCUUGGUCCCCUUUGGUUCCCGAUUCCCCUUGCUUGGUCUGACACGGUACAGUGCUGUCAGUGCUCAGGGUUCACAGAGCAUUAAGGCUUUUGCAGGACCUCCCACAGAUGGAAGACUUCUGCUCACAGCUAACUCGGAGAAGAGCAGGCACCUCUGUUGUGCUAGGUUUGCCCCUUUCUGCACCCAGGGCACAAGCCAUGAUUGUCUCAUUAAGGUGCAGGGUCCAUCCCAACUAGCCCUAGAUUUUGAGAUUUUUGUUUUCACAUUCCCCUGCUCCACAUCUUCUGCCCUGACUUCCUUACACCUACACCAAAAGCCCAGCAGAACUGGGUGCAGCGCGGGAGCCUGGCUCCAAAUGCUCACAUCCAGUAGGAUGCGCAGCUGCAAGUCUUCCUUUGCCAGAUGUUUUUUGGAGCUGUGGGAGCCAGGGAAGUUCACUGCAGGUGUUCCCCAGCACAGAGGCAGCCUCCUCCGAGGUGAUUAGCAUCUGCAAGGCACCGGCAGGGACAGUGCAGGUGGGAGGAAAAGAAAAGCUCACGCCAGUCCCAUUUGCCCCACAGUGGGCGGCCUCUUGCUCAGUUGUGCAAAUUGCCCAUGCAUUCUGGGGCCCUAAGCUCAAACUGCUCCCCAAAAAGCCCAGCAACUACUAACCCUCCUCUGCCCUUCGCUGGGUGGGUGGCAGAGCCAUAAGGAGCAGGCAGAGGGACAGGACAACGCCUGUCAGCCGUGCCAUGUGGCAGCUUCCCAUCUGCUGCCUGUGCUCAUGCUAAUGGCAAGCACCUGGGCUCAAGACCAGCUGAGAUAGUGGGAGGUGAAAAAGGGCUCUGAGUUUGGCCCUGGUACCUUCAGUCAGCGAGCAGAGGAAAGCUGUGGGUGAGGUAGCAUCUAGCCUUUCUGUGUGAACAAAAAGGGCUGGAGAUCAGUGGGAGUAAUACUGAGAUGUGCCAGCUGCAUACAGUAUGGUCUUCUGCCCCACUUAAGGGGGAGCUGAGCCAGGUAAAGCCCUUUCUUGGUUGGGGCUUUCUUGGUUAUCCCUCCAUGUGAAGUGCCAUCUGUCUCUCACUCAAUUAUCUGUGCCUUCCUUUCCUUAUAGGUAGUGGGAAGUUUAAAACCAUCAUGUGAGUGCGAAGGAGAGCUUGCAUUUUGGCCUGAGAGCUCCAGUAGCAGCCCUGCUUUGUAAGAGAUGCUUGUGCUUGUGAGAAGUGCCGCGAGGAAAGGUUCCCCUGUGUUCUGUGCUCGCUGGAGGGGGAUCACUGAGAUCUGAUGGACACUGAAUUCACUUCUUGACUUCUGCAUGCAGACCCAAACCCUGUCCUUUGGCCGUGCUGGAGGCAAGCACUCAUGUCAGGAGGUGCUGCCUGCUUUCACCUGUGGUCUGCCCACCCUACUGGGCAGGACUAACCACGUGGAAGAGUCCUUUAGAGCCUGCCUCUAACUGCAUUGGCUGGUAUCUCCUGAUAUGCAUCAAAAGUAGUUAAUAAAGGUAUUUUGUCUGGGAUAUCAGCUGCAGUUCUUGGUUGGUGAGACCUAAUUGCUGACUAAAGCUUCAAACUUUGAGUCAGUUUGGGGACAGAGAUUGAUUGGGGUCACCAGGUUAUUCAGAAUAAAAUCCCAGCCCUUAUCUCUGAAAUGCAGUGUCCAAUUGAUUUUCUCUGGGCCAUUACACAGCGCACAGUGCUGAAGAGCCCAGGCAGGGAGUGACCAAGUAUCCCGCUUCUCAGAAUCCUCUCAAAGUGAAUCCUGUGCCUCUCUGAGGGCUCUUUGGAAGCAUGGCUCUUCCUGGUAAGGACAGAGGGACUGACAAGGAAACCAGUGGGGCUGAGUCUCAGUCAUUUUCCAAACUUGAGCUGUAUCCAGAAGCGUUGCUACCUGCAGGACUGCAUUUGCAAGGCACCCAGCCCCAUAGGGCUAUGGUUAAAAAUGCCAACUGUUGCUCAGACAUAUCAAGCAUUUCCAUGCAAAUUACUGAAUUCCAUUAAUUCCAGCAUUCCGGUCUGCAAAACUGGGAAAAAGUUUCAGUCUGUGAGCAGAGGUGGCAGAGAUGGAAUGAGUGCGGUGGAAUGUACUUAACAGGAAAAUAAGUUGAUGAGAGCUCUUUGCACCAAAGCUGUGGCUCAUGCUGAUUACUCACCAACUCCCAGACAGCUAGGAUUUGCCAAUCAAAUCAUUUUUAACCACAUGUGCCAACACCAGCCCUGGCUGCCCUCUCCCACACCACCCAGGGUUUUGUCAUCUAUGGGGAGAGCUUCCUUUGGUGUCUCAGCUACCUCCCACUGCUGAAACCUGGGGGCAUCCUGGCAUCCUACUCUGAUAGAGAAGUCAUCCCCCUCUCCCCUACUUCCCAUUGGGGCAGCCUCCAUGGGGGUUUGAUGCAGACUGGGGCUGGGAAAGGCUGGAACCCCCCCCACCCAGUGCGUUUUGUUCUGCAGCCCCUAAUCCGUCCUUGUGUGCUUCUUGCUUUUAUGGUCUUCCGUGCACUUCACUUUUGGAAAAAGCAGCUUUCCCUCGUGCCUCCAUUGAUUUACCAGCUCCAGGGUCUGGCUGUUGCCCUGGGUAAUUGGCAGCAAUUACAUAUUCGGGCUGAACUUUAUUGUAUGCAUUAGGAAAAGUCAGCAAACAGAGUUGAGUGUGCUGUCAAGUAUUGCCUUUGACUUUCUAUUGCAGCCGUUUGGGGUCUGUUUUGUCCUUGGACUGAGAAGGCUUGUAUUCUGGUGGGGGCUUUGUCUGAGAUACUGGAGGUUAGUCUGAGGAGGGAUGUCUGAGAGACCCUGCUAAUCCCUUUUUACUUUUUGAACAAGAAAGUCAAGUGUUUUUUAUAAUAAUAAUAAUUUGAGCUAAUAAGUAACAUGCUGGCUGGAGCUGCAGCUGCCUGGGGUGGAGCAGAUUUGUUUUCUCCAUCUAAUUAGGAAGCCUUAGCUAACGUCACACAGGUCUCCAUUUGCAGUCUUUCUGGAGAGGUUUGGUGUCCUGCAGCUCAAUCUAGGCUCGUGGUGCAGGUACCAGUACUGCCUUGCACGAGCCCAAAGCUUCAUCCACUCUCUCUGUUCAGGUCCCGCCCUUGCUGGGCACGAUGAGGAGGAUGAGGCUCUGCUGUGGCCCUGAGGCAGGACCCCCACCCCGGAACCAGCCCCAGGGCAGCUGGCAAGGGCAGGCUCCUCUUUCUGUGGGUAGAAAUGAUUGUUUCAUUAUUCCUUUAAUUCCUCCUCGCUGCAUUUCUGCUUCAUCAAAAUGCAUUAGCAAGCUAAAUCUCCGUCAGGUAGGUACGUUGCACUUCCUCUCUGGGGUAACCACUCUUUGAGUCUGUGGGAACAUUCAAAGAGUGGUACUAAGUGAAAAAUCAUACAGCCAGGGAAGGCAAAUUCCCCUAACUGUGUCCAUUAACAAUAUUGUGCAUCAUCUAAAUGAAAGAAAAGCUUAUCGGCGUAAUGGUUUCCUCCUCGCUGAUGGGCGCUGCUCAGUGCCAGCUCAGACGAUGAAGCCCAACCUGUUCUGCUCCUGCUCCUCUUUGAUGGCUGUUUUGCCAACGCUUUAGGAAAGUGUUCAAAUUCCCAUAAAAUUGAUUUUCGGUGGGAGUUGAAGGAAAAAGAUAUUUUCUGUUGAAUGAUUUUUUCAAUAAGAUUAACUUCACGAGACCUCAACUUUGGCCCUAAGUGGCCUAGACAAUGCCUCCCUUUUAUGAAGGUGAUGCAGCUAUCUAUAAUUAGCCACGGCUAGUUAAUAACUCAUCUGUUAAUGUCCGAGCCCACAAAUGGAAGGGUUCAAUGUACAAGGAACCAAGGUUAGGCCAACGAGGAUAAAAUCAUGUCUAUUUAAGUUUAAUGAAUUCCAUUUCCAUUGUUGCUGCAUUUUAUUUGGACAGUCAGAUGGAUAGCUGAGCGCUGGGCCCGCUUUCCAAAGGGCUCUGCUUGCCUGCAGCUCAGGACUUCCCUUUCUCUCCAUUAGCCUCACUGGCAAGAACAUAAUUGUGGAAAAUGGUGAACAAAAUUCAGCACUCGGGCUUAAGUGCCAAAUUGUUUGCAGGCCUUUUGGUUAUAGCUUGUUUAAACUUCAUCUGACUGCUUUUUGUAACAUGGGAAACAGCUGAACAACAACAAAACCCUACUGAACACGGUCCUAACAGCCUUGUUAAGAGACGCAGUGCCCUGCCUAUUGCUGCCUUUCAGACAUAAGGCCAAGGUCGUAGCACUGGUGCAUCUCGGCCCUUGGUUGAGCGAUGACAUCCAUUCUGAUCAUCAGUUUCUUGAACUAUCUGAAACUAUUGCCUUCAAAAUGAACGUUUAGCUUAGAUAGCAUUUUAAAUGUUUAUAUUUUUGACCGUGAUAUUUUUAAACUACGGUCCUAUUUGUGUUACAGCCAUCUGACACCUGAAGUAUGCCUUUCCCAUUUUAAAAACUGAAAGAGAAAUUACAUUUCAGAUUGUACCCAAACUGACCCUUCCCCCAAAACUUUCUGCUUCGGCGUUUUGUUGAAAAAUUCCCACUCGGCUUUAGUCAUGGGAAGGAAUUUUCUCCUUAAUGUUGUUUUGGUAAGAAAAAAAUAAAUCUUUGUUUGCAUGACUAGGUCUCAGUCAUGAAAAACUGACCCCAAGAAACGCAGCUCAGAGUUUCCUCUGACUGCAGAGGAUCACAGCGGUGAGAUGAGAAAUUUGAGAAGAUGCAUGCUUGAGCUGAGUGGGAUACAGGGGACCUGGGGGAGAAGGAACCCCUUGGAAGGGCCUUGUGUCUUGUAUGUGUGUUGUUUAAUGUUGAGCACUUGAACCAUGUGAGACCCCGCGCGCCGGUGCUGUUUGCAUGCUGCCCGCAUGCCCACGUGCCCUGUGACGCUGCUGAGCAGGAGCUUUCCAAAACAAAACCUCUCCCAGCAGGAGCCAAGACUGCCUCCUCUGUACUGGCAGUUUGGGGUUCCCUGUGAAGAACGUGCCACGCUUGUCCCAUGUCCCCAAUGUCCAACCCAUCCCCAAGCCAGGCAGGCGCUUAUCAACAGUUUGGAUGAUUCCUUGGUAUUACUCCAGAGCUCUUGGGCUUGUAAAGCCAGACAGGAAAUCUUGUAGAAAUGGUUUUUCCUGUCCGAAAUGCAGCCAGGCCAUUUCUGAGGGCUACCUGGAAGUAGCUGGAAGACAAUCUUGGCAGGAAAAUUCCCACAGCUUGAGCCCUGGAUAGGAACUGGAAGUUGGGCAAAGAUCAAACCUGGCGUUCUCAAAUCUUAGGAAGUUCUGGGGUAUGCAACAGAGCAUAAGUAUGCAACAGAAGCACAAGCACUGCCCCUCUGCUUUCAGCUAGCUUUUCCAGUGAACCUGAGUGACAGAGUAACCCAGCUCCCCUUAUAACAGGGACAUGAGCCUGAGCCCAACUCACCUCCUCUGGAACCCCCCCAUGACCCUGGGCUUGGCCACUCCUGCCUUUCCUAUUCCUGCGGGAAACCAGUUUAAUUUCCUCAUGUAAUUGUGCUUCCUCCAUCCUGAACGCAGGCUUUUCAGCAGUUUGUUGUUCAGCUUCCCUUUCAGCCCCUCUCUCUGGAUGUGAAGGUUUGUCUUUUUGCCCAAUAAAACCAAAGCAGCCUUCAAAUUGCUCCCCAAACUCCUGCCUAUGGGCUGACAGCAAGAGGUAAAUCUUGUUCCAAUCAGUCAGCCCUAUGGAGCUUGCUGGUUGUUGCUGGCUUUCCCAUUGGAAAAUGUUGCAUGACUGAUGAACAAAAGUCUUGGAGGUUUCAGCCGUUUGGCUCCAGUACCAUACCAAGCACGCAAAAUCACCCACUGCACUAAGUCCAACCUAAGCAAAGCAAACUGCAGCCUCCAUGAUUAAUAUCUGAAGCCAUAGAGAGGAAGGAAAAAACAAGAGUUCCGACCUGAAUGGUAUCUGAACUUGAAAAACGCCCAGCAUUCAGCCUUCAAGAGCACUUUUGAAGCCGCCUGUAGAGAAAAUAAUUAAAGAGAUGAAAGAUACAGUGACUGAUAGUAAUAAAUCACAUGCGGCUGUCUUUGCCCUCUCAGCAAACGUAAAUCACUUUUGCCUUUAAAAUAUGGCAGCAAGCAUUCUUCCCAGAUUGCUUUGAAUUUAUUAGACAAGGUCAUUAGAAAUGUAUUAGGGCAAAAUCUGAAUUUAUUAACUGAGUUACUUAAUAGCUUAAUUGCUCAGCUAGCGCCAGCUCUGCGCUGCCUGGUUGGGAGCAGGAGGGAAGUGGGAAGGUGUGUCACCCAUCACCGCGCCCCGCUGCCCGGCCCCGCAGGGACCCCGUGUGCUCCACGGGGUCUGGUUUGACAGUUCCUAAUUAGCAGCAGGCAGAUGUGUUUGUCUCCACAGUAAUUGGCUUAACGUGUGCCAGGGUGUCUUUUGAGGAGGAAAAAUUUUGCAGGGGCUGCAGCUGGACCAUACCAGAGCUUGACAUGGGCUUUUGUGUGCUUGAGACUGUAGGGGUGGUCGUGAAGAAUCAGAGAAUCAUAGAACCGUUUGAGUUGGAAGGGACCCUUAAAGGCCAUCUGGUCCAACCCCAUGCAGUGAACGGGGACACCUACAGCUCCAUCAGGUGCUCAGAGCCCCGUCCAGCCUGACCUUGGCUGCCUUCAUGGUUGGGGCACCCACCACCUCUCUGGGCAACCUGUGCCAGUGCCACCCUUAUUGUAAAGAGCUUCUUCCUUACAUCUAGUCUAAAUCUAAUCUAGUCUAAAUGGAACCAUUUCUUCUUGUCCUAUCACAACAGACCCUGCUAAAGAGUCUGUCCACUUCUUUCUUAUAGUCCCCCAUUGGAUAUUGGAGGACCAGGCACAUUCAGCUCUGCUCUGAUCCCUGCCAGCAGCAUGCAUGUCCCUGCACUGUAGAGUUGUCUUCUAUGGACUGAAAAGUUUGAAUUCAUCUGAAUUAGUGUGUGUGCACGUAGGAGGCUGUGCUAAAAGUCUAUGAAACUGAGUCCAAAACUGCUCUGCAAGGAGCCCUCAUUGCAUCGUUGUGCUCCUGUCCCCACUGGGGCCAUCCACCAGGAUAGGCAUUUCUGGAGGUAGCCAAACCCAGCGCAAACACUGCACCUCCAAGUAGGAGCAGGGAACAAACACAGCAAGGCUGAGUCCCAAGGCUUUUGCAGGGAUGGCACCACCGAGAUUUUGGGUUCACAGACCAUUGGAGGGUGAGGACAGGGCAUGCAGCACCCAUCCAUGGGUGCCCAGGACAAGUACCCCAAGUGUUAACGCAAGAAAGAGUGAAGAUGACUCCUGCUGAAAUCACUGGGUACUUUGCGCUGUAGCAGAUGCCAUUAGACCCCCAGAUGUUUCACUGAGGCGUGCUUUCUCUUUCUCCCCGAUGAUAGGUAGCUCCAGAGUAGGGAAGAAAGCGAGAGGAGAAAACACGAAGUUAAUGACUGCAGUGACAAACUUUAUUGCAGCAACUUUAUGGUGGGAAAAAUGUCUCGCGCUCUUUGCUGCACAACAAUGUCCCGACAGACAUGAUGUCAUCGCGUCUUAAAAGGUGUUUGAGUUGGAAAAUCUUUUCUGUGGUGUUUUAAGGAGCUGUUUAAAUGAUUAAUAAGGUUUAUGCGUGUGAUUUAUUAUCUCAGAAUAGAAAUGUACAGUAGGUAUAAAAUGUAUUUGAAAGGGAUGGCUGUGUUUAUUAAUGGUACAGGUGUUAUAUUCCCAGACAUGUAUCAAAAUAAACAUGCUUAGCUGGAAGAGAGGCAUGAGGCAUCUGGCCGCACAUCUGCCUGCACGUGCCCUGACAGUUUGUGGCAGGAGGAAGGAGUGGGAGGGCAGAAUGUUGGUUUGGACCAGCAUCACGAACUCGUGCAAACACGAGAUUUCACCUGCGCUCCCCGCUCACUGGAGUAUCACCCAGAGCGUAUUCAGCGUGUCUCGUGAUUAAGCUCAUGAAUUAAAGCUAUGUAAGUGGUGUUUAUUAUUGCACAUCUGAGAACAGUUAUCUAAUGGGCGGUGCCUAAAUUUCCCCCAAACGUGGCUUGUUAAAGUUAAAUUCUUCUCCCCAGCAGCUGCUGGAGGUGAGGCAGCCCUUGGCGGGUACCAUCGGCCCCGGCUGGCUGCGUGCAGCCCUUCUCUUGUUUCUCUUUCACAUUCCUCUUUCCCACAUGCAGAGUCUUCCUAGAGGCCGAUUUAUACUUUCAGCACAAUCUUUCUGAGCUCGAGUCCUGUGCGUGUUUUGUUUGAAAUAUUCAGAGAGAAAGCACGGCUUCCUUAAUUUCCAGUAGAGGUUUUGCUUGUGUGGAAGCCUUCAAUGGCAAAACAGACCUGCUCAAACGUGGCUUAUUUUGUACAUCUCUGAAUGGCAGGAAAUUAGUGGAGAUGAUUAGCAGUGAGAUCAGGACCUCACACGCUGGUUGCGAGAUGACUCCUUCGGGUCUUCCCUCACUGAGGCUGCAAUCCCCUGCAGCUAUAUGGAUGCUCAGACACUGGCUGGAUCCUGCUGCUGCCACCAUCUCUCGGGGCUCCGCUUGCCCCAUCUCCUCCCCAGGACAUCCACAUGACCCUCAGUGGCAUGCCUUCUGCCCUCCCCUCCAUCCCUCAUGCCCCAGCCCUGCUCACCACACAGCCCCGUGCAGCGAGUCCUGCACAUAACAGCUGCCAGAGCAGCAGAGACUGUAACAGAGGCUGUAUUUCUAUGAAACCAUUCCCCUCUGAUGUUUUCCAUCCCGUCCCUUGGGUGUGCACACCGAGCAGCAAAGGUGGGUGUCCUGGGGGCCUCCCCGUGCCCCAGUGCUGCUCUGCCCCGGCACUGCUGUUUGGGCAUCCCCUGGCAUUUCCAACUUUUAUUAAAAUAAGCCCAAAUGGAAAUUGCAUUCUGCCUCCUCUGGGGUUUCCAUGGAGCAGAUCUAAUUAUCUUUCUUUAAUAGCGCUAAUUGGCGGGCUUAGAGCUGGCUGCUCACCCGCUCCUCUGUUCCCUUUAUCCCUCGCGCUGCCACGGCCCCUCACGCCGCCUGGGAUUUACACAUGGUCUGAUGGUUUGAGAAACCACUUUGACUUCUUGCCCUCAAUUCGCUCGUGCUACCUGAGCUCCCCAACCUGUUGACAGAGGAGCUUUCCUUUGUCUUUGCAAAUUGACACAGCUGCACACUGGGCAAAUAGAUUCAGACGUUGAGCUUUGGGCUGAAUGGAUCCUCCAGAUUAGCGCAGGGCAGAAUCAGCUUUAGAAGGGCUAAGCUGGAGCCAGCGGCAGGAGAAUGGAGUGAAGCUCUUUAUCAGGAUUCACUGCCAUAGAAAGGGGCUCCCCGCUCUCCCGGAGAUAUUUACUUCCCUUCGGGGACGGCAUUCCUGGAGCCGAUAGCUCAUCGUGACCCUGUCCUGGAGUUAAUUAGACUACUGUAUAAUGGGGAGAUUCACCCGGAGAUUACAUGCGGCGAUCUCUCACCACACACGCUGUUUGCUGAGCGCUUUGGGGCUCUUGGCAAGCACAAAAGCACAAAUGCAAGCAGUGGUGAAUUGGGCAGGGGGUGGGGGCUGAGUCCUCCCGCAUCCCAGCCGUGCACGCAUCAGAGAGCAUAAAUUUGGCCGCGGAGGUGAAAUUAGAAGAACUGGAGCAAUGAGGCAGAACAGACAGGUGAUGGUCGCUGGUGUUAGCUGCACACUGGUGUCUCAGCUCAACGCAUGGCACAGAGAUCAGGCACCUAGCCAUCAGCCAGUGUCUUGUAGGACUACCUCUGGUGUACCCCAGAACACAUCCAAGGCCUUUUCCCAGUACUGGAGAUCCAGGCUCUGCCAUGAAUUAAAGCCAGACUGUGCGUGUGAGGGGGAAGGCAUCCCUGCCAGGCUGGGGGGCCAUCUGCCUGCCCUGCACACUGGGACGGGAUCGCCCGGGAGGCAAUUAAUGCUGAACAACUUGUUAAUGAUUUUAUAGCAGGUUAAAGAAAAUGCCCCAAAUAAAACUACGGGAGACCCUCUAUAACUCUACACGGCUGUAAAUAUGUAUUAACUUAAUUACUAUCAGCAAUUACAACUCAGUUUGGGAACAUUUAAAGUAGGUGCACACAAAAAGGGAUUAUUAUCCUUAGAAAAUGAGUGUGGAGAUGAAAGGGAUUUAUUUCUCGCUAGCUAAUGAGCAGAGGCAGAGGCAUAGGGCAGCAUGCCCCUCUGCUUGGCGGUGCUCACAGGGGGGCUCACAAAGCAGACGGAGGUGAGAGGAGUGCGGGGGGUCAGGGCGAGGUGCAGGUGUGCUCAGGACCCCCCUGCUCACACUCCCUCUGCCAUCAGGGCAUCCAUCCCAGCGUGUUCAGCCACAGCAUCACUCUACUGAAGUCAAAGCCUUCCAAGCUGUUGCCUGUACAUCAUGGACUUUGGAUGCAGUCUUUCUUCCUGGCCAUGUAUCAUGGAUGGAGAGGCUCUGAAGUUCACCACUGCUGUCUCCCCAGCUCUGUGUCACGUGUGGCUCUCACUCCAAGCCCGGAGCUGCCUUCUAGGGUGGCACCGGGGGUCUCCAGAGUGCCCUGGGCUGAGCCUGAAGCUGCUCCUGCUCUUUGGAGAUGCAAAGUUCUCACAGCCCCCAGCCUUUGAGACCAGGGAACAUAGGGAGACCUGGUGAGAUAAGGCUCUAAUUGUGAUUUCCAACGCUUUUGUCAUGCACCGAGGCCUCCAAUACAAUUGCAAUAUCCUUUAUCAAGCUCUCAGGCCAGCCUGGGGCUGGGGGGCAGGAGACAGAUCCGGAAAGCAGGGGGAGGUGGUAUAAGGCUAACUGCAGCCCCAAAAUGGAAAAAUACGAGCAGGGAUGCCUUCUUAUUGCUUUGCAAAACACAUUUAUUGCCAGAGAAUAUGACUUUUUCACAUAAGAUCUGCUUUCAUUUUCUGAUCUACUCGUGAGCGCUGAGCUCACACACGUGCAGCCCAGCUUUGCUCUUCAUUAUUCCUGCAAACCGCAGGCUUUCCUAAGGCUCCUGCACCACCUCCAGUAAGAAACCCAUCCGAGGAGGAGCCCGGGCUCUGGAAUGGGCUUUGAAGCAGUAGCAACCUCUGAAUGUGAUGGCAUUUCCUUCUGAGACAGAAAAAAAGGACCCUUUGCAUUGUUUUCUCUCCUCCACACCCCUCUCCUGGAGGAGAUAUUGGCUAAGACACACAGAUGGGAUCGUUUACAGUUUAUUCUGGAGCUGCCCUGGCCCUUUCAGGUUUUGUUUAUAUUGUCAGAAAGGCCAGGAGGGGACAGAGGGGACAUCUCCCCACCAUCCCAUCCCCACCAGGACCAGGCUGCUCGAGCUCUCAUCUGCAGAGCUGAUGGAUGGAAUGGGACCAACGGCCUUUAUGGCCCCACUGACAGACCAAUGGGGCACAGCACCCUGAGCACAAAGUGGCAGUGGGAAAAUCCCCUCGGAAGGGUGGGAUGUCUUCUCCUUUCUGAACAGAGCCUGACUGGCACCAACUGGCACUGCUUCUUUUUGUUGCCACCAAGCAGAGCCAUCCUGGCAUCAUCCCUGCUGAGCUGCUGAGAGCACAGCCUAGGCUGGGCCCCCAAAGCCUCUAAACUGGGGAUCUAACCAAACUGUGAGGAGAAAGCAGCCAGGGGUGAAGCAGGGCCGUGAGCUGGGUGCACAGGAGGAGCUGCUCUGUCAGACUGGCUGGCUGUGGGGCCACGAUGAGGUGGGGAUUUCCCCUCCCUCUGCCUGCUCUGCUGGUCUCCAUCCAAGCACAACAGAGCAGCAGAUACGCAUUCCCACCCGGCAGCUGCCGGCUGACCUGUGCGCAGUGAGUUGAGGAGCCCUGGCCGCACAGCCCGCACGCAGGGCAGCGUGGGGACCUGGGCUGAGUUCUGCUUUGGGAAUGCACUGGGAUGUGAGUGAGCUCUGCAGCGCUCUGCACAGCCUGGGUUGCAGUGCUGGCAGCCGGCUCUCCAGCUCCAAGGAGCACUUAAACAAAGAGAAACCCACACUGGAGGAGCAGCAGCCCCACAGCCCUCCAUCUGGUAACAGAAGUGCAGACAGGGCUAUGUUCCCUCUGCAUUGGCUGCACAGCGAGAGCAGCUUAGAUGAACUCUCCUGGCUGGUAAUAAAAUGAUUUUACAUAUGUAGGAAGCAGGAUGUGCAAAGCCCAGGAGUCUGAUCUUGUUUCUGAGAUCAAACAGAGUCUUAUUGUACAGGGGUGUGGAGCUGAUGUAACUGUCUGCUGUGCCGGACACAAUCGCCGUGGUUACGCAGCUGGACCGGAAUAAAGCAAGUCUGUAUCUGAACUCAUUAAUUUUUACAACCAACUGAACGGCUCUGCCUUUCUCUUUGGGCUUUUUGGUGGCUGUGGGCAGAGGGGUGCCCCCACCACACGGGAUGGGGCCGGGCCCCACAGCCCAGGAUGUCCCGCAGCCACGCGCCCAUCUGUGGCCGGCGGGGAGCCGGGAGUGACGGUGUUGGUGUGAGUGUGUGGAGCUGCAGCUCUGCCAGCCGAGGGUGAUAUCAAUGUUUCCACUGGAAACCCCCGUUUUUCAGGUUUAUAGCUUGGCUGUGAAUUUGCCCUCCAGGCUGGGCUCUAGCAAGCAAGGAAAACCCAUGGUUUCCUUGUGCAGUAUUCCAUCUGGCUGGUUGCACGCUGCUUCCUGACCUGGUUUGCACGGUGCCCUUCACCCGCAGGCACACCAGGGUGCUUACUGGGCACACCACGCGGGUGGCAGUGCUCGGUGGCAGACCUGGCAGCACGCAGCACCGUGAAUGAACCGGGAUGGUAAAUUCUGCCCUAAGAGCUGCCUCUGCCUCCUAACGCUGUAAUUGGUGCCAUCAUCCCAUUAAGAAGGCACCCCCUGGAAAGACUUCAAUUAAGCAAGCUGCAUAAAAUGAUUUACAUUCCCUCUCUUGGCCGGGGCCCUGACCCCAACCUGGCGGUGCCUUGCAGAGCAUCUCUGCAGCCUCUGCAGCCCUAUCCGAGUGCCCCGGGCCCCCCAUCCUCCUGCAGGACAGGUGCCUGAAGCCCUGGGGGUCCCAGGCCAGCCUGGGCAAUAGGGCUCUUCUGCUGCCCCAAACUGCUCCCCAGCAGCCCUGAGGGACUGAAGGAGAAGCAGCCCAGCUCCACACUGCCUUCCCAGCAUGCUGGAGUUACCAUGGUUAGUUUUCCACUGUUCCCUUUGACCCCUGCAGAUUUCCCUUAUGAGUUAGUGUCCUGGAAUGCCUCUUUAUUAGGUGUCUCGAGAAGGAAAGCUGACCUGAUGCCAGUGCCCCCACACUGAGGACUUUAUUAGUUUUUUAAUUUUCUGUCUGGGUGCUCUUGCUGCCUCAAACUUUCCACAGCUGUGAGGAUUUAUUAACGAAGGAGGCUCAUUUGUGUCCUGCCUCCCCUUCCCCUGCUACUUCACAAACCCACAACUCUGAGGCUCAGAGGGGACUUUGUCCUGCAGGGCACAGUGCUGCCCACAGAAAGGGACCUUUGUGUGGCUCCACGGCGAGCAGAGCCCUGCUCAUCCCCAUUGCCACUCUGCAGGAGGUGCUGCAGGACCCAGGUGGCACAAGGCUUCUGCCACUGUGUGGGGACAAGGGCAGGUACAGUGGGAAAAGCAGAGCAGGACAAGCAUUUGUGCAUUAAUUCAGGGGGUAAGGACAAUUUAGAACCAGUCACGCUCCUCAGCUGCAGCUGGAAGCAGUGGAGGAGGACGCAGCAGGCAGGAUGCCUUUAACCCCUCCCACCCAAAACCUAAAAUGCACCAACGUGGGAACAUGACAGCAGGCUGGUGGGGAGAGUGAGAAGAAAGAUGUGGGGAGAGAAGACAUGCUGCAUGGGUAGGACGAGUGAGGCUGAAGGAGCCGAGACCCUGCAAUAUAAACAUGCCACAGGGAUGCAGGAGGAGAGGGGAUGGACAUUUAUGGCAAGAGAAAAAAAGCACCAAAUAUUUAUUUGCCUGUAGAACAAGUCUCCAUGGCAAUGACGUGCCUCCCAGCAGCUUCCCAAACACGCACAGCCACGCAGCUCAGGCUCUGCUUGGGGCAACAUUUCCACCCAUGGAGGCAUGUCCCAGAGUGCACAGGGCAGGUUGGGCCCUGGCACACAGAGGGUCCAACCCAACACCUCUAAGGGAAAGCCACCAACGUCAGGUCCCUCAGAUAAAUGUCACCGCAGCUAAUCUGGCUCUGAACCUGCAGGGCCAUAAAUCCCAUUCUUUUGCUGCCAGCUGAAGGAUUUGUUCCUGUAACAAGGUGCUUUAACCUCGCUGCGCACUCAUUGUUCUGCCCUCUUUGAUUUUACUGUAAAUGACUGAAUUCACUUUUGAUGCUCUGCCAGUGCUCAUCGAUCGUGGCACCGCGCAGGCUGUGCCAUGCGUGCCCUGCUGAGGAGGGCUGAAACCCCAGCACUGGGGGGCUGCCCCUUCCCAUUAACUCCACCAACACCCGGACCCCCCUCCUGUUUUCCAGCCCGUGUCACCACCCGCUUUUUGUUCCCCAUUGCUGGAGCACUUCCCAGUGCCCAGCAGAGGGUUGUGCCCGCGCCCCGCUGGGCAGCUUUGUUCCCGCAGCCACCUGCCCUGGAAGCACAGGGGACACUUGGGCUCGUGAACGGCAGGAAACCGCAGCCCCACCGCCAGCAAACAAUGGGCGGAAACGCACCCUGCGUCCCAGGCUGGGAGGGCGGCAUGAGGCAGGGACAGACCUCUGCGGGGACAGAGCGGCCCUGCCCUGGCAUGUGCUGCUCCUCCAGUGGGAAGGGCCGUGGCUGUUGGCUUGGAAGAGUGGGGGGAACUGUGUGCGAUGCGCCUAGCGUGCCCGGCGUGGUGUGCGGUGCCUCGCUUGCAUGGCGUAGACACAACGUGCUGCGUGGUGCUGUGUGUGCGUGAUGCUGUGUGCUUGGCGUGGUGCACGGCGUGCAGCGUGCUCUGCAGAGCGCGCACUGCGUGUGUGCCGCGCGGUGACCUCUUGCUGCCUCUGGCCCCGAGCGGGGGCCGGGAAGGGAAGCGCUGCCGGCCGCGCUGCUUUCAUCGGAGAUCUGGAGCGCAGGAGCCUGCCCAGAUCCUAAUCAGUGUGGGAAAGAGGCAGCCGGGCCCGCUCUGGCUGCAGCCUGCUGGAGACGCCUUUUAUUUCCAUAAACUUUAUCGCAGCCCGCAGCCCCUGAUACACCGCCCACCGUACGCGGAGGGCAGCGUGGCGGGCGGCCAACAGCCGCUCACAGCCGCACGCGCUGCCGGUGCUCCCAGGGGACGCGCGGCCGCACGCCAGCAGCCCCAUCCCCGUGGGAAGGGCCGUGUUGGGCUCUGUGCCUCUCCCAGGGCAGCACUGCUGCUGGGUUUGAGGCUUGCUGGGCUUCGCCACAAAUGAGCGGUUUGGGCUGCUUUCAGUUUUCUUAUUUCUUUUUUUUUUUUUCACUUUGCUAAAAAAGUUUGGGUUUUGUUUCAAAAGGUUUACAUUCUUCUUGGAGCACGGAAAAACCAGGAUCUGGGGGUUGUUUGCACGCUCGUUCUGCAGACCGGGAAAGACGAUUUUCCAUUUCUGCUUUGCAGCGUCUGUGAGUGAGAUCUGUCCCUGUGCCACAUCCGCGCGGCAUCCUCCUGCUGCGUGCAGGGGCUGGGGGCACACAUUGCCUUUGCAAUGGCAGCUGUCAUAGCGGUGGCCGCCCAUCACCUGGGCUUGGCCAGGGCUGGGGGCACCUUCCCCUCCGUGUUCAGCUCUGCUGAGGAUACCCGGCCACACAUUGUCCCCGCUCCCCUCCAGCCUGUCCCCAGCCCCUCCUGAUGGCUUUUCACCCCAUCCCUCCUGCUGCCACAAUCCCUGUUCUGUCUGCAGCCUCGUGGCAUGCCAACGUGAUAAAUGCGUUCUCUGUUCUCCGGCACUGGCUGCUCAUCAGAGUGCCGGGGAGCUGCUCACAGAGAGCCAUUGAGUGCUGUCACCCGCAGUGCUGUCACCCUCAGUGCUGUCACCCAUCCCACAGCACCACUGCUGCCGGCAUGGGCAGAGCCCCGAGGCCGCCUAGCACUGCUCUGCUCCACUGCUGGAGGGGACGAGGUUGGCCUGACCUGUUCGUUCUUGACAAAUACAUGUCAGAUUGAGUCAUCUCUGCUUGCUCCCUGCUCCAAACUCCACCUGGCCACAGCUCCUGCUGCAGCAAAGCCCUGCCCUGGUUGCUGCUAAGCGCUGGUGAAAGCUGCUCACCUGUUGGCCAAGGGUAGCCAUGGUAUAAGUAUUGCAUUUUUUUAAAUAACAUUUCAUAGCAAUAAAUGUUAGAAUCAUAGAAUUGUUUGAGUUGGAAGGGAUCCUCAAGGGCCACCUGGUCCAACUCCCCUGCAAUGCACAGGGACACCUACAGCUCCAUCAGGUGCUCAGAGCCCCAUCCAGCUUGACCUUGGGCAUUGAGGGGCUGUUUCUCCUACUUCCACUCUACUUUUCCUCUCGUAGAACUGUGUUGGGGUCAGGAGUGAACCCCUCAGCUAUUAAAAAUGAGAACCACUCUCUCUUCCAGGCUCAGCAGAAGAGAAGCUCGCAAAGACAAGCCAUGACUUCCUGCCUCAGCUCUUGGAAGAACACUCACUUCUUUCAGCAGGAAUGCUUUGGUGUUGGGUGUUCCAGUAGCGUUCCAUAUCACCUUUCACAUGCAGAACUCUGGGUGCUCUGCUCCUCCUUGUGUAAGACCUUGGCUCUGGGUCCUUGCUGUGUUGAAACUGGCGGCGUUGAAGGGCCCUUUGGGCUGGGAGGAUCAGGCCCAUGGGAGAGCAAAGGGAAACACCCAGAGUUGGGACUGUUGUUGUGCAAGUCCUUGGAGGGAUGCCUGAUGGCUGUGUUACUCACCUUGGGUUGCUGGGACACCAGCAGGAGAUACUGAUGUCUCAAAGGUGAGCUGAGGGCUCACCCAGAGCCUCUCUGGGGUGGUGGGCACCCCACUGCAGUGAUAGUGCUUACCAUGGUCGUGCCUGUGGCACGAUCUAACUCCAUGUCCCCACCCUGUAGGACAUCUUCUGUGUCCCGCUGGCCCCAGGGACACUCCAUGGUUUAUGGCCGCGUGACCAAGGGGCGUCCUUGAGCCUUCCUCCUGAGGGUUGUAUUCUUUAAGAUGAGAAAAUGCUCUCUGUGCCCUUCCCCCAGCUCAAAGCAUCCUGUACAAAAAUAAAGCGCCCAAAAUAGCCCUAGACAGUGCUUGACAUUUGCCAGACAGCUGCUCGCGAGAGUGCUGCAAAGAUUAUGGAUUGCUGUGAGCUUCCCUCCUGCUGCCCGCGUGUGCCUUGCAACAGGGCCAGUCUCCACCAGGCUCUCAUGGCCUGAAAAAGGCAGCACAGGGACAGGGGGUGCAGGGACAGGCACCCACCAGGUGUGGGCUCGCUUCUCCAAGGGCUGGAGCACAGCAGCCCCAGUGCAGCCAGGACACGUCACCCUAUUGCGGGCCGCCAAAAAGUCAUCAGGUCAACCCAGGAGCCCUGCAGGAAAGCUGUGGCUCAGAGGGGACCUGGGAGGUGCCUCGGAUCAGAGCCUUGGAUCAAGCCCUCAGGAGCAGAGCAGGCAGGGGG
ensembl:lncRNA